GAAUAAGAAGCGAAAAAUUGCAUUCAGUUUCGACCUGAAAAAAUGGUAAAAAGCAUUAUCUUACCCUUAUUCU
rnacentral:tRNA from 1 species